GAUACGGUCUAGUGGCUAGGAUACCUGGAUUUCACCCAGGAGGCUCCAGUUCAAUUCCUGGUACCG